rnacentral:rRNA from 1 species
GAUUAACGCUGGCGGCGUGCCUAACACAUGCAAGUCGAGCGGCAGCGAGUUUUACACUGAAUUCUGGAAGCUUCUAGUUGAAAGAGAAGAUUUAUUCAAGAAUUUUGUGUAAAAUGUCGGCGAGCGGCGGACGGCUGAGUAACGCGUGGGAACGUACCCCAAAGUGAGGGAUAACGCAUCGAAAGGUGUGCUAAUACCGCAUAUGGUCUUCGGAUUAAAGCCUUCGGGCGCUUUGGGAACGGCCUGCGUAAGAUUAGAUAGUUGGUGGGGUAAUGGCCUACCAAGUCGACGAUCUUCAACUGGUAUGAGAGGAUGAUCAGUCAGACUGGAACUGGGACACGGUCCAGACUCCUACGGGAGGCAGCAGUGAGGAAUCUUCCACAAUGGGCGAAAGCCUGAUGGAGCAACGCCGCGUGCAGGAUGAAGGCCUUCGGGUUGUAAACUGCUUUUAUAAGUGAGGAUUAUGACAGUAACUUAUGAAUAAGGAUCGGCUAACUACGUG